UUCAACAGUGAUUCACUUCUUACCGGGGUACAUCGCCACUGUAACGUAUGCUGAAUGGCUAACCUGCUCUGGAACAGGUUAUAUUCAAGAUAAGAGAUCCAGGCAACAAAGACACUUCCGACUGACCAGUCACUUCUCCUGCAAAAAAUGUUGUCACCAUUCUAAGAAGAUCCCACAGAUUAUUUUAUAGGCUGCUGUAGGUGAUGUGGAGAGACUGAAGCGAUCCAAUCAUCUCUCACCUGCCCACCAGCUGCCCUCAGUUUGUCUCAUUGGUUUUCACACCUGCUCCUUAUCAGCUAAUCAUCCUGCUGACCUGCUGCCUGCCUGUUCAACUGCACCUCUUCUUCUAAUCAAGCUUCCUGGAUCUAGCAAGCUCUCCCGGCGCUCCUGUAAGAUCAGAGAGUUCGGUUCUGCUGUGUGUCUGCUCCAAGCAGGACAUGCUGGAAGACAGCGGCUGCUAGAAGACAGCUGCAGUGGACAAGUUCUGGAGAAAACAGUGUGAACAGAAACACAUCGUUAAUAUCUAGCCUAUAUCGUGUGCGUGUGUGCGUGUAUCAUAUUUACACAUUUAAGCAGCCUAUAACAAAGUCUUAAGGCUGCUAGCAUAGAAAGAUAAUUUGUCUUAAAAACAAAUCUGUGUUAAACAGGUGCUUAUUAUUGUAGGGAAACGGUGUAUUUGUUUUUGGUGGUGUUUGUUUUGCGCUGUCUGUGUUAAAAUUUCUGUUGCCUCUGUGUUACCUGUCCAACUUCCUGUAAG